AAUCAUGAUGGCUCCACAUGCUUGAUACAUACAUUAAAAAAAUACAAUGACUGCCAGCUAGGUGAGAGACUAUUAACAUGUUGCACCUUCGUGAAGAAGCAACUUCUUGAGGAAGUUGUUCACUGUUCAACUAGCUUCCAUGGAAGCUUCAUGUCCAUGUAACUUUUUCUUAUUUCCUUCUUUAGCCCCUACAGUAACUUUCAACAAUGGCCACGAGCCUCGUGGCACCUAUCUCUCCACUUUUUAUCCGAUGAUAUUUACCGAAGGAUCCUGCAGAGUAGUAUAAAUAUAAACAUUACAUGUAAGCACUAGCACACUUUAGUCCAUUGUUUCUUUUAGGUUUGAAUUUUUAUUUGUGAAAAGCAGGCAUUCUAAUUGCUAACUACACUUUUUUCAUUCAAUUUCAGGCCUUUACAUAACAAAAAUCUGCCGUUUCCAUAUAAGGGAAUCCGAGUCAGCAAUCAACCAUUUUGACAGACUACGGGGUAAAAUUAUUUUUCUCUUACUGCAGCAUUCUAAAUGAAAAGCAAAUACACAGCUCAUGUUUUCAGAUCUUAAAAAUCAUAAGAUGUAAAUGCCGAUUUUAGCUAUGUAAGGGCUAUUUGUAACCCAUGUAACUAAAUACCCAUUGCAAUAAACUGUAGCUUCCUUUGUUUGACA